AAAAAGGCAUACGGUGGAUUUUCGUGUUCAACUUUGACUGUCCGUCUUAUAUAAUUUUUUUUAUAAUUCAUAUUUUCAUUGUUGUUAGGUGAUAAAACAUGAUUGAUAUUUUAUGUGUGACUUGUCUUUUUAAUUUUUUUUCAUAAUUUUUUUAAAUAAGACGGAUGGUCAAACGUUAGGCACGAAAACCAUGGUUUGUCUUUUU
rfam:Oryza sativa (indica cultivar-group) chromosome 4, whole genome shotgun sequence.